rnacentral:rRNA from 1 species
GAUGAACGCUGGCGGCGUGCCUAAUACAUGCAAGUCGAGCGGCAGCGGGCUCAUAGUUUAUUUCUUACCUUCGAGUACAGGAAUAGCGAUUUCAAUGAAAUCGUGUUUUCUAAACCGAAGGAGUGAAGCUUCCGGACUAGCUAUUAAUUUAAGCUAGACCAGAGGUAAGGAAUGAAGUAUGAGCGCCGGCGAGCGGCGGACGGCUGAGUAACGCGUGGGAACGUGCCCCAAAGUGAGGGAUAAGCACCGGAAACGGUGUCUAAUACCGCAUAUGAUCUUCGGAUUAAAGCUUUAUGCGCUUUGGGAGCGGCCUGCGUCCGAUUAGCUAGUUGGUGAGGUAAAGGCUCACCAAGGCUACGAUCGGUAACUGGUUUGAGAGGAUGAUCAGUCAGACUGGAACUGAGACACGGUCCAGACUCCUACGGGAGGCAGCAGUAAGGAAUCUUCCACAAUGGGGCAACCCUGAUGGAGCAACGCCGCGUGCAGGAUGUAA